GACACCAGGUGGUUACACACGGCCUGUGUGACACUGUUGUUAAGCCGUGUGUAAUGGCCGCCAUUAAAAUGCAGGAAGGCAGCAUGGGUCGUCCUGUGACUACAGUUUCACCAUCCCGUCAAUGCAACGUGCCGGAUGAAGGAGUGUGACCUGCAGAGCGUGUCAGACGCACUGUCCUGAGAGAAGGCUCACUGGAAGAGAGCCAGGUGCCGUGGAUUUCAGAAAAACCAACAGAACACGAGUAAUGUGCCCUAAGGCUCACACGUUAUCCAAUCAGCAUUUCAAACGCAGAUUGGAACAUUCUCAGAUUCCUGUGCUUUUCUACAAUAACAUGAGAGGUGAUCAACAUAUAUGGCUCCAAAUUUAAAAAUGCGUUAGUACAAAAGCUACAUUACCACGUGUGUU